GAUGAACGCUGGCGGCGUGCCUAAUACAUGCAAGUCGAGCGAACAGACGAGGCGCUUGCUCCUCUGACGUUAGCGGCGGACGUGAGAGUAACACGUGUAUAACCUACCUAUAAGACUGGGAUAACUUCGGGAAACCGGCGCUAAUACCGGAUAAUCUAUUGAAGCGCAUGGUUCAAUGGUGAAAGACGGUUUUGCUGUAUCUUAUAGCUGGAUCCGCGCCGCAUUAGCUAGUUGGUAAGGUAACGGCUUACCAAGGCUACGAUGCGUAGCCGACGGGACAGAGUGAUCGGCCACACUGGAACGGAGACACGGUCCAGACUCCUACGGGAGGCAGCAGUAGGGAAUCUUCCGCAAUGGGCGAGAGCUUGACGGAGCAACGGCGCGUGAGUGAUGAAGGUCUUCGGAUCGUAAAACUCUGUUAUUAGGGAAGAACAAAUGUGUAAGUAACUAUGCACGUCUUGACGGUACCGAAUCAGAAAGCCACGGCUAACUACGUG
rnacentral:rRNA from 1 species